rnacentral:rRNA from 1 species
AUUGAACGCUGGCGGCAUGCCUUACACAUGCAAGUCGAACGGUAACAGGUCUUCGGAUGCUGACGAGUGGCGAACGGGUGAGUAAUACAUCGGAACGUGCCCAGACGUGGGGGAUAACGAGGCGAAAGCUUUGCUAAUACCGCAUACGAUCUAAGGAUGAAAGCAGGGGACCGCAAGGCCUUGUGCGUUUGGAGCGGCCGAUGGCAGAUUAGGUAGUUGGUGGGAUAAAAGCUUACCAAGCCGACGAUCUGUAGCUGGUCUGAGAGGACGACCAGCCACACUGGGACUGAGACACGGCCCAGACUCCUACGGGAGGCAGCAGUGGGGAAUUUUGGACAAUGGGCGAAAGCCUGAUCCAGCAAUGCCGCGUGCAGGAUGAAGGCCCUCGGGUUGUAAACUGCUUUUGUACGGAACGAAAAGGCUCUGGCUAAUACCUGGGGCACAUGACGGUACCGUAAGAAUAAGCACCGGCUAACUACGUG